CACGUAGGGCGCAAGCGUUGUCCGGAAUUAUUGGGCGUAAAGAGCGUGUAGGCGGCCAGGUAGGUCCGUUGUGAAAACUCGAGGCUCAACCUCGAGACGCCGAUGGAAACCAUCUGGCUAGAGUCCGGAAGAGGAGAGUGGAAUUCCCGGUGUAGCGGUGAAAUGCGCAGAUAUCGGGAGGAACACCGAUGGCGAAGGCAGGUCUCUGGGCCACUACUGACGCUGAGAAGCGAAAGCAUGGGGAGCGAACAGG
rnacentral:rRNA from 1 species